GAUAUCGACAGGAAGGUUGUGUUGCCCACUAUGAACAAGUUGUCAACAAUGUUGUUGCAAGUUUUGUUGACAACUUGUCCAUAGUGGGCAGCACAACCUUGUUCACGCCUGUCAAUAUC